GGAUAGGUGGCCGAGUGGUCGAAGGCGCACGCCUGGAAAGUGUGUAGGCGGGGAACCGCCUCGAGGGUUCGAAUCCCUCUCUAUCCGCCA
rnacentral:tRNA from 1 species